rnacentral:rRNA from 1 species
GUAGUCGAAAGGGAAACAGCCCAGACCAGCAGCUAAGGUCCCCAAGUGCAAGCUAAGUGUGAAAGGAAGUAGAAUUACCGAGACAGCCAGGAUGUUGGCUCAGAGGCAGCCAUCAUUUAAAAAGUGCGUAACAGCUUACUGGUCAAGUGAUUCUGCACCGAAAAAUGUACGGGGCUAAAGUUUGCCACCGAAGCUCUGGAUCCAGAAUUUAUUCUGGGUGGUAGAGGAGCGUUCCUUUAUGGGAUGAAGGGUAACCGUAAGGAUACCUGGACUAAAAGGAAGUGAGAAUGCCGGCAUUAGUAACGAUAAGGAGAGUGAGAAUCUCUCCCGCCGAAAACCUAAGGUUUCCUGGGGAAGGUAAAUCCGCCCAGGGUUAGUCGGAACCUAAGCCGAGGCCGAAAGGCGUAGGUGAUGGACAACCGGUCAACAUUCCGGUACUACCAGAUUAUCGCUUUAAGUGAUGGGGGGACGCAGGAAGGUAGGUCAGCACGAUAAAAGUUACGUGUCCAAGCCUGAUAUGGGAGAAGAUAGGAAAAUCCGUCUUCUAUUAAAACCCUAAGAGGUGAUAGGGAGCUGCUAUUGCAGCGAACUGAUCGAUCCUACACUGCCAAGAAAAGCCUCUAAACAAGAUAACCUGGUAUCCGUACUAAAACCGACACAGGUAGGUAGGUAGAGAAUACCAAGGCGCUCGAGAUAACCCUCGUUAAGGAACUCGGCAAAAUGACUCCGUAACUUCGGGAGAAGGAGUGCCCCGGUAGGGUG